rnacentral:rRNA from 1 species
UACGUAGGGGGCAAGCGUUGUCCGGAUUUAUUGGGCGUAAAGAGCGUGUAGGCGGCCAGGUAGGUCCGUUGUGAAAACUCGAGGCUCAACCUCGAGACGUCGGCGGAAACCCUCUGGCUAGAGUCCGGAAGAGGAGAGUGGAAUUCCUGGUGUAGCGGUGAAAUGCGCAGAUAUCAGGAAGAACACCGGUGGCGAAGGCGGAUCUCUGGGACGGUACUGACGCUGAGACGCGAAAGCGUGGGGAGCGAACAGG